rnacentral:rRNA from 1 species
GUGCUAAUACAUGCAAGUCGAGCGAAUGGAUUAAGAGCUUGCUCUUAUGAAGUUAGCGGCGGACGGGUGAGUAACACGUGGGUAACCUGCCCAUAAGACUGGGAUAACUCCGGGAAACCGGGGCUAAUACCGGAUAACAUUUUGAACCGCAUGGUUCGAAAUUGAAAGGCGGCUUCGGCUGUCACUUAUGGAUGGACCCGCGUCGCAUUAGCUAGUUGGUGAGGUAACGGCUCACCAAGGCAACGAUGCGUAGCCGACCUGAGAGGGUGAUCGGCCACACUGGGACUGAGACACGGCCCAGACUCCUACGGGAGGCAGCAGUAGGGAAUCUUCCGCAAUGGACGAAAGUCUGACGGAGCAACGCCGCGUGAGUGAUGAAGGCUUUCGGGUCGUAAAACUCUGUUGUUAGGGAAGAACAAGUGCUAGUUGAAUAAGCUGGCACCUUGACGGUACCUAACCAGAAAGCCACGGCUAACUACGUGCCAGCAGCCGCGGUAAUACGUAGGUGGCAAGCGUUAUCCGGAAUUAUUGGGCGUAAAGCGCGCGCAGGUGGUUUCUUAAGUCUGAUGUGAAAGCCCACGGCUCAACCGUGGAGGGUCAUUGGAAACUGGGAGACUUGAGUGCAGAAGAGGAAAGUGGAAUUCCAUGUGUAGCGGUGAAAUGCGUAGAGAUAUGGAGGAACACCAGUGGCGAAGGCGACUUUCUGGUCUGUAACUGACACUGAGGCGCG